GAUGAACGCUAGCUACAGGCUUAACACAUGCAAGUCGAGGGGCAGCGCAGUGUAGCAAUACAUGGGCGGCGACCGGCGCACGGGUGCGUAACGCGUAUCCAACCUUCCCGUUACUCAGGGAUAGCCUUCCGAAAGGGAGAUUAAUACCUGAUGGUGUUCAAAUUCCGCAUGUUAUUUGAACUAAAGAUUUAUCGGUAACGGAUGGGGAUGCGUGACAUUAGAUAGUAGGCGGGGUAACGGCCCACCUAGUCUACGAUGUCUAGGGGUUCUGAGAGGAAGGUCCCCCACACUGGAACUGAGACACGGUCCAGACUCCUACGGGAGGCAGCAGUGAGGAAUAUUGGUCAAUGGUCGGAAGACUGAACCAGCCAAGUAGCGUGAAGGAUGAAGGUUCUAUGGAUUGUAAACUUCUUUUAUACGGGAAUAAAACCUCCCACGUGUGGGAGCUUGUAUGUACCGUAUGAAUAAGCAUCGGCUAACUCCGUGCCAGCAGCCG
rnacentral:rRNA from 1 species